AACGGUGGUAAUGCCGGAUGCUCCAGUUGAUCGCAUGGUCUUCUGGGAAAGCCUUUGCGGCAUGGGAUGGGGUCGCGUCCUAUCAGCUUGAUGGCGGGGUAACGGCCCACCAUGGCUUCGACGGGUAGCCGGCCUGAGAGGGCGACCGGCCACAUUGGGACUGAGAUACGGCCCAGACUCCUACGGGAGGCAGCAGUGGGGAAUAUUGCACAAUGGGCGCAAGCCUGAUGCAGCGACGCCGCGUGAGGGAUGGAGGCCUUCGGGUUGUAAACCUCUUUUGUUAGGGAGCAAGGCAUUUUGUGUUGAGUGUACCUUUCGAAUAAGCACCGGCUAACUACGUGCCAGCAGCCGCGGUAAUACGUAGGGUGCAAGCGUUAUCCGGAAUUAUUGGGCGUAAAGGGCUCGUAGGCGGUUCGUCGCGUCCGGUGUGAAAGUCCAUCGCUUAACGGUGGAUCCGCGCCGGGUACGGGCGGGCUUGAGUGCGGUAGGGGAGACUGGAAUUCCCGGUGUAACGGUGGAAUGUGUAGAUUCGAAAGAAGAACCCCACCCC
rnacentral:rRNA from 1 species